GGUCAAUGGACGUAAGUCUGAACCAGCCAAGUAGCGUGCAGGAUUGACGGCCCUAUGGGUUGUAAACUGCUUUUGUUGGGGAGUAAAGUGAGGCACGCGUGCCUUUUUGCAUUUACCCUUCGAAUAAGGACCGGCUAAUUCCGUGCCAGCAGCCGCGGUAAUACGGAAGGUCCAGGCGUUAUCCGGAUUUAUUGGGUUUAAAGGGAGUGUAGGCGGUCUGUUAAGCGUGUUGUGAAAUUUAGGUGCUCAACAUCUAACUUGCAGCGCGAACUGGCGGACUUGAGUGCACGCAACGUAUGCGGAAUUCAUGGUGUAGCGGUGAAAUGCUUAGAUAUCAUGACGAACUCCGAUUGCGAAGGCAGCGUACGGGAGUGUUACUGACGCUUAAGCUCGAAGGUGCGGGUAUCGAACAGGAUUAGAUACCCUGGUAGUCCGCACGGUAAACGAUGGAUGCCCGCUGUUAGCGCCUGGCGUUAGCGGCUAAGCGAAAGCAUUAAGCAUCCCACCUGGGGAGUACGCCGGCAACGGUGAAACUCAAAGGAAUUGACGGGGGCCCGCACAAGCGGAGGAACAUGUGGUUUAAUUCGAUGAUACGCGAGGAACCUUACCCGGGGCUUGAAUUGCAGACGCAGGAUACAGAGAUGUUGACU
rnacentral:rRNA from 1 species